rnacentral:misc_RNA from 1 species
UAGAAAAAAAAAAAGAAAAAAAAAUGUAUAAGGCACGGAAAGGUUGCUUGUGAUCCAAAAUAACUCAUUUUUGAGGAACCAUUGAUUUUGGGCUAGAAUUUCAAAUGAGAUGAAGUGCCAUUAUCAGAAGAAAAAAGACGGCAUAGUUUUGCUUCCAUUGUUUGCUUUAACUGACAAAAAGAAUGAAAGGUCAUAGUCUCACUUGCAUGGAGAAAAGAAUCCAGAUGAUAUAGUUGGAAUUUGUUUUAUAUACUAACUCUGUAAAAUGCUUUAAAAAAGCCGUUAUGGAUACCCUGUUGUUCACUUGCAUGUUGAGAAGAAUCUUGUUGCAAUCCAAGCCAACACAUGCUAAAUUUGGGGAAACACGUGUUCACUUGCAUUUUUUUACUAGGAUAUACUCUUCUUGUAAAAUAUUUUGACUUUUAGGGAAACACUUCUUAAAUUUGUUGUUGCAGUAAAGAAAGACUCUGGUUGUUGAAAAAAGCGAAGAAUUUGGAUAGGCUAUAGUUUUAACUGAGUAAAAUCUAAUUUCACCAUUUUGUUGGUAAAGUUAAACGCUAUAUUUAAUCUGUUAAAAGAAUAGAAGAUAAGUGCAUAGUUUGUUGAUCAAAUUAUUUGUGUUCAUUAGCCGACCCCAAAUCUUUGGGAU